UACGUAGGGUGCGAGCGUUUGUCCGGAAUUAUUGGGCGUAAAGAGCUCGUAGGCGGCCUGUCGCGUCGGAUGUGAAAGCCCGGGGCUUAACCCCGGGUCUGCAUUCGAUACGGGCAGGCUAGAGUGUGGUAGGGGAGAUCGGAAUUCCUGGUGUAGCGGUGAAAUGCGCAGAUAUCAGGAGGAACACCGGUGGCGAAGGCGGAUCUCUGGGCCAUUACUGACGCUGAGGAGCGAAAGCGUGGGGAGCGAACAGG
rnacentral:rRNA from 1 species